rnacentral:ncRNA from 1 species
AUAAAGUUUUAUUUUGGUUAAAAAAUUUAUUUUAUUUUAAUUUUAUAUGUAAGUUAAUGUAUGAAUUUAUAAUUUUCUUAAAGAAAAUUAUAAAAUUUUAUUCGCAGUAUUUUAUUUUAAUUAUUAAAGAAAUUUAGAAUUAGUUAUAAAAAUUAGUAUGGGUUAAUUUUGUGCCAGCAUCCGCGGUUAUACAAAAUAUACAAAUAAAUUUUAUUAUUUAUAGUUAAAUUGAUUUUAUAAAGUAAAAAUAUAUUAAUAAGGUGAAAUUUAUUAUAUUGUUUAAUUUAUUAAAUAAUUAAUUGAAGCUAAUAAAUUUUUAUAUUAAACUAGGAUUAGAUACCCUAUUAUUAAAAAUGUAAAUUAAAUUAGAUUAGGUAGUAAUAGAUAUAGACUUGAAACUUAAAAAAUUUGGCGGUAUUUUAAUCUAUUUAGAGGAACCUGUUCCGUAAUCGAUAGUCCACGAUAAAUUUUACAUAAUUUUAUUUAGUUUGUAUAUCGUCGUUAUAAGAGGAUUUUAAAAGAAGAAAAAAUUUUCUAAUACUUAAAUUUAAGUAUAUUUCAGAUCAAGGUGUAGCUAAUAAUUAUGAGGAAAUGGGUUACAAUAAAUUUAUUUAUAAUGAAGUAUAAAGUGAAUAUUUUAUAUGAAGGUGGAUUUAAUAGUAAAAUAAUUAAUAUAUUUUAUUUGAUUAUAGUUCUAAAAUAUGUACAUAUCGCCCGUCACUCUCUUUAUUUAAAAAGAGAUAAGUCGUAACAAAGUAGGUGUACUGGAAAGUGUACCUAGAAUGAUCAA